AUAUUCAGAUCCAGGUUCCUCUCACAGGGUGGGUGUCCCCAGCCUUGUUUCCUGCCCUUCAGAGAGGACUAGUCCCUCAGCAAAAUGAAAGGCCAUGGAGUGAAUGAAACUGGGAGAGAAAGCUGAACACGCAUGGGUAUUGUAUUACUCGCUGUUGAAGAAAUAUAAUAUAUCACUCUGGAUAUAAAGUGACCACUUCUCAAGCCACUGCUGCUGGGGCUUCCCCGCCAUGGUGGACUCUUAACCUGCAACCCCAGGCCAAAAAGAACCCUUCUUCUUUAAGUGGAUUUUAUUGGAGUAUUUUGUCACAGCAAAACAAAACAAAACUAAACUAAAACACGUGGUCAGGUAGGCGAAUAAUUAAGAAGUGUUGAAAAAAAAUAUUUUCAAGAGUCCAUCUUGUACUCAUAUCUUCUGGGCCAGGCUCUCGGUGGUACCUGUCGUCAAACUGGGCCUUGAAAAGUUCUCUGAGGAGUCUGUUCCGCCAAAGUGGCAUGGAGUGAAGAACAGAGAACAGGAUCCCCCUCGAACCAAGAGCAGCAAGUGAGGACAGAAUUCUGGCUUAUCUGACGUGGGGGUGGGGAGUGACUGCCGGGGCAAGUGCCAACCUAGCCCUUCACAACCCCCAGGAAUUCUUGUCCCUUCCCUGACUUUCCACCAGCAUGCGUUCAUGUGCUGCUGUUUUCUGGGUGUCACUUGUCCUCCCGAUAGUCAGCUUAUGCAUGCACCCUGUAUCAGAAAGGAUGUCAGGGCCUGGGCUGUUUGCAUUUCUGCUAGAGGAGGAGGGGCAUGGGCAAUGCUCAGGGCUGGGACAAAUGUCUGCUUGAACUUCAGAAAAGGAGCAGAGAAAGAGCAUUCUUCUAUGGCAUCAACACACUACCGUCAGCAUCCCUGUCUUAAUAAAACUCAGUCUAUCCCCUCAACGAGAAAGUGGACAAUUCAAGAAUAGGCCUCUUAUUUCUUUCUAUCCACAAGUUCUGAAUGGGCAGAAAGCCCAUAAGGAGGGGGAUCUCUUAAAGUGUAGAUCCUGAAGUAAGUCUGUUAGAUUUACCAAAGAAACUGCGAGGUAUAUAGGUAAGCUUGCAUCUCAGAUGAACAACGAAUACUUAUUUUCUGCAUAAACAUACCCCACAAAACAUGUGGAAUAUUCUAACAAGAACAACAAAAAUAGCAACAUUAUUUAUCUGAAAUUCAAAGGUGUCUUGAAUUUCUGUGUAGCAAAUCGGUUUUCUUGUAAACUACAUUUAAAAGCCAGGUCUUCAGAGUU
rnacentral:lncRNA from 1 species